UUUACACUCAUCCCUAUUGCACUUUGUUAUUAGAAUUCAGCAUGUUGAGACCCUUUCGGGUCCUGCCUCUUGGCCCCUUCGCUAGAUGUCACGUGCCAAUUUAACGCUCGGGCCAGAACCAUUGACACUGACGCUGAAUCUGACGGGUGCCCAGACUGAACUAGCGUCUCGGGGUCUCCCGCUGCCCCACCAGGCGAACAUGAGAUUUUUGAUCAGAACCAGCAUUAAAAGCAAUAAUGAAAGGCAAGGUCAAAACAAAGAGGAACUUACCCUAUCAACCUUCAUGAUCUGGAAUCGCUGAGAUAUAUCUGCAGUGUUGGCUGGCAGCCGAGACCUCCCUGACACAAACCUCAUGAAAAGGACUCUCUCUUCAUUGGAGAACUCUUCCAAGGUAUGCCAGAACCACUGCACCAACUGAUGCUGUUCAUCCACUUCCCUGUAUCGGACAACUUUCUUCAGAACCUCAACAGAGAUCUCAGGCAUUCCACAGACCAUCUGCUCUAGCUGCUUUGCAGUCAAGAGGGAUAACAAGGGGACUGGGAUGAUCCAUGACAUUCCUUCUCGGACAGCAGCUACCUGAAGCCCCAAAAGAGUUUGAAGGACAAUUCAAUGAUCUCCUGUUUAGCCACACAUGAUACUUGUAAGGAAUGAUUUCCUUCCACUCCUCAGGAUCUUCCCUUUGUCAAGCCACAAAUCUCCAAAUGCACCAGGACAUUACUUUGAAUUUUCCCAACCUGGAAUGUUCUCCCUUCUCCUCUGUGAAAUCACUUUACAUCCUAUUUUUUAGUCACUUAUUGUUAUAUGAAUGUCUUGACUUUUCUACAAGACUAAGACCCUUGAAGACAAGGACUGUGUCCACUAGUUUCUUUUAUUUCUCUCAUAACAACCAGCACAACACUGAGGCACAUAUGGCAGGCCCUCAUUUAUAACUGUGGAAAUGGCUGGAUGCUGCACAGAAUAUUUACAAGAGAUAGAAGUCUGGUGUGGUACAAUGAAAAGAGCAUCAGAUCUGGAGUCAAAGCACCAGACUCAAAUCACACAACUGAGAUUUAUACCCUGUGUGACUAAAAGGCAAAUCACUUCACCCUCCUGGGUUUCAGUCUCCUCAUCUAUAAAAUGAAAGAGGGUUGGAGUAGAUAACCUCAGUGGUCUCUUCAAGCUGAAUAUCUAUAAUACUGGGUUUGUAGGUAUGUACAAGAUGAUCCACAUUCUAGAAGCUUAUUAGUAAGACUCAUAUUAUACAUACAUUAGAUAGAAUAAUAAUAAUAAUAAAAAAAAACUAAUGACAUUUACAUAAUACUUUUACAAUUCACAAAACAUUUCUCACAGUAGCAUUCAGAAAAAGGUGGUACAAGUAUUACCACAGAUGUGGACAACUGAGGAUCUGAAAAUUUUAUAUUAUUUGUUCAUGGUCUUGGCUAAUAUUCUAUGCUAGAUUCAAUUCCCAACCCAAGGCACUUUUUCUCCUAGGCCACACUGCCUCCCAAUGACAUAUGACAACUGUAUACAGUUAAUUUUAUGUUUUACAUAAAUUUUAAUUUAAUUCAAAAUCAUAAACUUAAUAUUCUUAGAAACUGAAGUCAUGCAAUGUAAGCAAAUACACAUCUAUGAUUGCCAGUAUCAGUUAUUAUACUAGGCAGGUCUAUGCCCCAAAAGAGUUUAUAUUCUAUAGGGAGAGACAAUGUAUAAAACCAAUUAAAUGCAUACAAAAGAAAUACAAAGUAAGUUGAGUGAGAGGAGACAGUAGCAGAGGGAAAAAAGAGAGGUCUCAUAAAGAAGGUAAGGUUUAUCCUGAGCUUUGGAGGAAAUUCAGGAGUCUAAAGGGUGGAAGUCAGUAUAUUUCAGGCAACGUAGACUGGAGACAACAUGUGUUGUAGUCAAUGACUGCAGCACCUCAUAAAUAUAAUAUCAUGUGUAAGGAAUAGCAAAGCAAAUAGAAAAGGCAAGGAAUAGUGAGGCAGUAGGUCUGGUUGGUCUAAAGAGUCCAAACAGAGGAGUUUUUAUUUGAUCUUAUAUGUGAGAGGGAGUCAAUGGAGUUUAUGAAACAAGGAAGUUACAUAGUCCCAUCUGUGUUUUAGGAAUAUCUCUUUGGCAACUAUAUUGAGGAUGGAUUAGAGAGGGGAGAUCUUUGAGGUUAGGAAACUAAUUUGUAUACUAAUGAAAUAGACCAGGCAAGAGGGGAUAAGAGGCUUGAACAAGAGUACUUGAGAGAAGGGGUUGGAUGCAAGUGACAUCAAGAAGACAUUGCAAAUGAUUAGACAUUUGAGGUGAUGGUGAGAGAGAGUUGAGGAUGACUCCAAAGUUUAUACCCAUGUGGUGGAAGAAUUUAACACAAAUAAGUAAAUUCAGGAAGAGGUCUAGGAAUGGGGGAAAAAGAAAAUUCUUGUAUUAGUCAUGUCAAAUAUGAGAUAUCUAUAAGUUACCCAGAUCAAAAUGUCCAAAAAGGAGUUCUUAAUAUAGAAAAGAGAUAAAGAUUAGAUAUAGAGGUCUAGAAGUCAUCUAUGUAAAGAUCAUUGAACCCAUAAGAACUGAUGAGUUUACCAAGAUUAUAGAAAAAUAAAAUAGGAUUCAGAACAAAUCAUCUGCGUAUAUUCAAGCCAAAAAACAUGAUUCACUAACACAAUAGUAGAGCAAAAUUUGACUACUAAAGCUGACUCCUGUUUUCAAUGAGAACAAGAAUAAAAAACAGCAACAAUAACUAGGGUUACUACAAGUUACUACCCCCAUUUUAUAGAAAAGGAAAUUGAGUUGUAAAUGGCCACAGUUAAUAGGUAUAAGAGGAAGGAUUUAAAUCUAGGUCUUCCUGAAUUCAAGUCCAGAAUUCUAUCCAUUAUGCCCUCUAGUGUUACUAUAAUCUCCUGAAAAUAGAAGUUUUAAUACCUGCUUAAUAUGAACAGGGGUUACUUAAAAACUGCUAUCAUGAAAAAUGGAGAGCACUGAAAAUUUAAAACUAAACUUUUCAAAUACUCAAGAGAAUAUCAUAAAGCCUACUAGAUUUAACAAAUACUUUUUCUGCAGAGGAUAUCAUUAAGAGGCUAGCACUGGAUUUUAUAACUAAAUCCUCAUCCAAUAAAGGAUUUAAAAUUCAGAUUAAAAAUAACCUCAGCCUCAUAAAGGCAUGUUUCUAUCCAGUGAAGAACUGGAAGACUAAGAUUUCUUAUGUACUGUUUAUAGUUGCUUUAUGAGACACCAGCAGCAUCUACUGUACAAAGUAACCAAAAAGCAUGUCUGCCAUUGAUACUGCAAUGAUACUGCAAUGAUAAGCAACAUUUUUGCCCAGGUAAAAUUAUAUAAUGUGGUUAUAAAG